ensembl:lncRNA
GGGCACCCCCGUCUGGUGGCUGCAGGAAAUGAUGUGGCGUGUGUUUGAGUCUGGGUUAUACAUUGGCAGAGGAGACAAUCAUAGAUAAAGUGGUGCCCAUUUUGAUGAUCUUGCCCAGGACCCCACCACAAAGACGUAGGAAGCAGAGUAAGAGUGGAAGUGAAGCAGUUUUCGGUGCUGCUGCUGACGUUGUGAAUCUGUGGACAUUUGGAUCCUAUAACAUAGGCCAAACCUGAUCCACACACAGUGGCAAAAGAUCUCUGUGCAUCAUCGUUUGGGAGCGAUCUGAA